AGUUUGAACUAUUUAGAAUUGUCAGUUUUUUAUGUCAUAAAUUACUGAACCUAACACAUCUGGUCAGACGUGUCCAGAUACACAUUCUUAAGGGCUUGACAUGUGGAAACCCCUCCUGUCAUUCCCAUGAAUGUAAGAUCAGUGAGUAUUCCCAACAGGCAUAUUACAGACAGUUUUUGUAACAGCAGAGAAGAAUUUUGCGCACAGGCUUCACCAGUAUUUAAUGGAAUUUGGGAACAGAUGGCUCAGCAACCACAUGGGAGCCACAACCGCAAGUGCUUCCAAAGGCUUCCAAAGUGAAAAAUAAGAAGGAAACUAUUGGGACUUUUAACAUUCUGAUCCAUACCCUUAAAGUUCAGUUGGAUUUAUAUGUAAGAGCAUUGUAUAUAAUGAUGGAAAGAAAAGACCAAUUAUAGAAUUUAUUCUAAUUAUGGUGUUUCUUUUUAGGAGCAGACAUUAAAGACAAAUUAAAAUGUUAUGACUUUGAUGUGCAUACAAUGAAGACACUAAAAAACAUUAUUUCACCUCCGUGGGAUUUCAGGGAAUUUGAAGUAGAAAAACAGACUGCAGAAGAAACAGGACUUGCACCAUUGGAAAACUCCAGGAAAACUCCAGAUUCCAGGCCUUCCUUGGAAGAAACCUUUGAAAUUGAAAUGAAUGAAAGUGACAUGAUGUUAGAGACAUCAAUGUCAGACCACAGCACGUGACUACAGACAGUGGUCCUGGGCCAGUCUGUGCUGGUGUAGGACCAGAGGCUGCCUUGAGAGACUGGAUAGCACACCUUGCAGCAGAUGUUCUGAGUCUCUGAACUACAAAAUAGUUUUACCUAGUGGAAUAAAAAAGGUAAACCACCCA